UGGAUUUCUCGUCCCGCACCGGCCCGAGGCCCGUUCCCCUUCCACUCUCUCCCUCCUCCGCUCUGUCUGUGGGCGGAGACUCGCAUCGUCCCCGAGCUCCUGCUACUCAUGGCGGAUGUAGCACCUCUUCGUGCGCGUCGUCGUCGCCGCCGCCAACAGCUUGGCCGCCGCCGCCGUCGUCGUCGCUGGGUCCUCCUUUUUCUCCACCUAGGUCAGUUAGCCUCCCUGCUCCCGUCAUUCCCUCGGAGCGGCAACGGCGGAGCAGCGAGGAAGCCCUAGGCACCGCCAAUAGCAUAGCCGUCGCCAACAGCCCUGCCGCCGCGGCCUAGGCAGCACCACGGCGUUCCGCCGACGCAGCCUUACACCACCGCGUCCCGCUGCCGCCGCCUCGCACCAUCGCUUUCUGCCGCGGCCUCGCACCAUUGCGUCACGCGACACCCAGAUGCAUUAGAAGCCAUUAAUUCUGGAUUCGAAAAAUCAUCCAAGUCAUGAUGGAGUAUUGGCAGCUUCUGGAGCUUAUUCUGCAAGAUUACUUUGUAGAAAAGUUUCCUCUCAUAUCAAGUGGUUUUUAAGUAGUAAGAGGAGGUUACAGAUCUUAAAAUGAUGAUACUAUUAGUUGGAAUUUGACUCUGCAUGCACCGGCUAGAAUGGAAUAGGAUUAGCAAAUGAAGUAACUGCUCUCCUUGUUUGAUCAAGGCCACGAGAGAUAUUUUCACGAGGAUAUCUUUCAUAUUCAACCAUUGUGCAAGUCCUGUCUUGCUUAAUGGACAUGAGGAUGUCUUGAUUGCUGGCUGUAUGGAAGCACAUCCACACAUGUAACUCAGUCAUGUGGGAUACAUAUAUAUUGUGUCGGAAUCUGAUAACUGUGUGCGUGUUGAUGGAUUUUCUUAGUAGGUAUAGUGCUGCAUCGCUCAUUUUUUUUAAUAUGUUGUGGUUGUUAUAGCAAGGAAGUUUUCAGUUUUAUCUCCACUUAAGUGAUUGACAUGGAAGUGAAUGUGAAGCAUCAGUAAUUAUCCUAGUUGGUGCCAGUAGAGCUAGCUGUAUGCUAUCUGUUUACAUUACUUCUAACUUCUGUAAUAUGCUCACUGUUUAUAUUUUCUGAAAAUGGUGAUCCUUGUCUUUGACAUUUUCUCAUGUUCUACCGAGCUGUUACUGAUGGCCUGGUAAUUCUGUGGUUACGAGAAGUCCAUGUACUGUAGUAAAUGUUUAAUCUGCUUGAGGUUUCAUUUGCUACAUUUUCUCACCAAGCAGUAGACUUUAUUUUAGGCAAGUUAAAAUUCUGCUGCCGUACUAUUACUGAUGCUGAACAUUGAUCUAAUCUGGCGAAGGGCAAGAGCGCGGAGAGCAUAGGCAGACUCCGAGGAACGGAACAGGGCCGUUUCAUAGGCAGGCUUUUUUUCCUUGGUGUUUCUUAUUUGAAUUUGUAGGGCUGUUAUUUCCGUUGGAAAUUACUUUCAUUUUGAAUAAGGGAAGUCCGUGUUUCUUAUUUGAAGUUCGAUGUAAUUCUUGCUUUAGGCAUUUCUGAAUCCAGAGACAGCAAUAUGUUACUGAAAUUUUUCUCGAUUCUGAUUGCUGUGGGAGGUCCGGAUAUGGCUCAUGAACCUCACGGCAGCUGCGAGUGAACACCAUGGCUAGCUUCGAGCGCUCCUCUCCAUGGCCGCCGCAGCCAGACAUGCUAGUCGCCAUGGUUGGCUUCCGGUUUUUGCUGUUAGAGCUGCAUCCCAGCGACGGUGGCGGUGCUGGAGUUGUUCAAUUGAUGAGCGACAACUGACAUGGCAAGGAUACAAGAGGUGUUGUGUUGGAAAAAUCUUAAAAAAAGGAAUUUGAACAAAAAGUCCGGUGCUAAUGUAUAGCACGUGCCAACCCAGGGGAUGCAAUUGCGCUAUUUUUUUACGACUGUGCCCUCGUAGGGGAUCUUUUCACUGCAUUUGUUUUGGUCUGUGCGCACUUAUCGGUGCUGGGUCACGGCUGGACUCGGAAGCCAUCUUUUCGUCCGUGUGCAUUGUUUGGUGCUGGGUCACGGGUUGGGCUCAGUGGCCUCUUUUAUUUGUGCGCUUUGGCAUCUUUCGCAGCUGACAGCCGUGCAUCAUCCCCGUGUUGGCGAUGCAGUUAGUAGAAUCCGGCCUAAUAAACCUCUGUUUAUAUGUGCUCAUCCUCUGUUUAUGUUUAUCAAUCAUAGUUAGAAACCUCAUGACAAACUAUUCUGCAGAUUUUGUGUCAGAGAAUGAAACUACUUGGUAUAUCUUUAUUUAUGCUGUGGGUGGAUUCAACCGGCAACGUAUAGCCGUUACUUCUGCUUGUCAUACAUAUGCAUUAGAAGCCAUUAAUUCUGGAUUCGAAAAAUCAUCCAAGUCAUGAUGGAGUAUUGGCAACUUCUGGAGCUUGUUCUGCAAGAUUACUUUGUAGAAAAGUUUCCUCUCAUAUCAAGUGGUUUUUAAGUAGGUAAACUGAGAUUCCAUUAUUCUGUAUUUGACUGCGCAAGUGCUUUAUAGAAGAUUAGAAAUUUCUGUGGUUGACUUCUACUUCUCUACAAGAUGACUUGCUUUUCUGUUUUUCUUUGUUGAACAUGUUUCCUGAUGGACUUUGGUAAACCAAUAAUGUUUGCUGAACCUGUUUGUGUAACUGUGUUAUAUGCCUUGAGUCACAUGUUCCCUAAUUGAUUUAGUGGAUGUUUACCCAUAUUUCUUCAGCUUUCCUUCGAAAUAAGCACUGACAAGUAAGCAACAGAAAGGACUACUAACUGAGUUUACCAAGUUUCCUACUCUAUCUGUGAUAUGUUACGACGCAAGCUUAAAUGUGCAAUGCUAGGGUUAUCCGUUUAGAUCUUAUAAAUUUUACAUUCUGCUGUGAGCAAUGCUUGUCAAAUACUUUCUCUUGUUCAUAUUCUUAUGUGAGCAUGCCUCUCGGUGCCGGCUGGCUGCUAUGGCCAUGUGGGUGGCAUGGUCAUUGGUGUUUGCCGUAGCAUGGCGUUGGUGUUGCAGCUGCUUUGGCAUCUGGCGGUACCCUGGUUCAGCGAAGAUGUGUGAGCGUUGGGGUGCAUAACUUGUCCAAUUUUUUCUAGGCCGACAGGAGCAGUGUCGGCGGGCGUCAUUACCUUCUUGAAGGCUCCAUGGCAGUCACUCUUUGUCCUUCUUGUCGCUCUGGGUGAAAAACUGAUCCCCAGGAUUGGGCGUGGCGUAUCCUUGUAGGCACCGCUUUUGAGUAUAUGUUUCAUCGAUGUCCAGCUUCACAUCUUCGUGGUGCAUAGCUCAUGAUGAAGGGCUCAGUCGACUCCAGCAGUUCUUUUUGGUCCAUUUGUAGUGUGCUUGGUGGCAGGGGUGUUGCUAUUCCUCGGCACCCUUGCAUCUUACCUUGGAUGUGUGUUGUGUAUUGUGUGUGGUGGCGGCGUGUUGUAUGCGGUUGCGUGUAUGUUGGCCGUUGCUUUAUAUAUAAAGUGAGGUGAGAGCGUUUUUUAGUUAAUUCAUUUGUUGGCCCGUGGCAAUGCACGGGCACUCUACUAGUCAUCUGUAAUUUCCAAUUGUUGCAGAGCAUAUUAAAAAAGAAGAAAAUAUUUGCAAUUCUA